GUCGAGAAUUUUUCACAAUGGGCGCAAGCCUGAUGGAGCGACGCCGCGUGGGGGAUGAAUGGCUUCGGCCCGUAAACCCCUGUCAUCUGGGAUCAAUCCCUGAAAUCGAAUAAGUUUCAGGUUGAUAGUACCGGAAGAGGAAGGGACGGCUAACUCUGUGCCAGCAGCCGCGGUAAUACAGAGGUCCCAAGCGUUGUUCGGAUUCACUGGGCGUAAAGGGUGCGUAGGCGGCCGGGUAAGUCUGAUGUGAAAGCUCGGAGCUCAACUCCGAAAUGGCAUUGGAUACUCUCCGGCUCGAGGAUUGGAGGGGGGACUGGAAUUCUCGGUGUAGCAGUGAAAUGCGUAGAUAUCGAGAGGAACACCAGUGGCGAAGGCGAGUCCCUGGACAAUACCUGACGCUGAGGCACGAAAGCUAGGGGAGCAAACAGGAUUAGAUACCCCAGUAGUCC
rnacentral:rRNA from 1 species